rnacentral:rRNA from 1 species
GACGAACGCUGGCGGCGUGCUUAACACAUGCAAGUCGAACGGAAAGGCCCUGCUUGCAGGGUACUCGAGUGGCGAACGGGUGAGUAACACGUGGGUGAUCUGCCCUGCACUUCGGGUUAAGCCUGGUAAACUGGGUCUAAUACCGGAUAGGAGCCAUUUUUAGUGUGAUGGUUGGAAAGUUUUUUCGGUUUAGGAUGAGCUCGCGGCCUAUCUGCUUGUUGGUGGGGUAAUGGCCUACCAAGGCGGCUACGGGUAGCCGGCCUGAGAGGGUGGACGGCCACAUUGGGAAUGAGAUACGGCCCAGACUCCGACGGGAGGCAGAAGUGGGGAAUAUUGCACAAUGGGAGCAAGCCUGAUGCAGCGACGCCGCGUGGGGGAUGACGGACUUAGGGUUGUAAAAUACUUUCGCUAGGGAAGAAGCUUUUUGUGACGGUACCUAGAUAAGAAGCACCGGCUAACUACGUG